CCUACGGGUGACAGCAGUGAGGAAUAUUGGUCAAUGGACGCAAGCCUGAACCAGCCAUGCCGCGUGAAGGAAGACGGCUCUACGAGUUGUAAACUGCUUUUGUACGAGGGUAAAGGCAGACACGCGUACCUUUUUGAAAGUACUUUAUGAAUAAGGAUCGGCUAACUCCGUGCCAGCAGCCGCGGUAAUACGGAGGAUUCAAGCGUUAUCCGGAUUUAUUGGGUUUAAAGGGAGCGUAGAUGGUCGGAUAAGUUAGAGGUGAAAUCCCGAGGCUCAACUUCGGAAUUGCAAUUGAUACUGGUAGGCUAGAGAGUAGUUGCGGUAGGCGGAAUGUAUGGUGUAGCGGUGAAAUGCUUAGAGAUCAUAAAGAACACCGAUUGCGAAGGCAGCUUACCAAGCUGCUUCUGACGUUGAGGCACGAAAGCGUGGGGAGCAAACAGGAUUAGAUACCCGUGUAGUC
rnacentral:rRNA from 1 species